UACGGGGGGGGCAAGCGUUGUUCGGAAUUACUGGGCGUAAAGGGCUCGUAGGCGGCCAACUAAGUCGGACGUGAAAUCCCUCGGCUUAACCGGGGAACUGCGUCCGAUACUGGAUGGCUUGAGUUCGGGAGAGGGAUGCGGAAUUCCAGGUGUAGCGGUGAAAUGCGUAGAUAUCUGGAGGAACACCGGUGGCGUAGGCGGCAUCCUGGACCGACACUGACGCUGAGGAGCGAAAGCAUGGGGAGCGAACAGG
rnacentral:rRNA from 1 species